rnacentral:rRNA from 1 species
GACGAACGCUGGCGGCGUGCUUAACACAUGCAAGUCGAGCGGUAAGGCCUUUCGGGGUACACGAGCGGCGAACGGGUGAGUAACACGUGGGUGAUCUGCCCUGCACUCUGGGAUAAGCCUGGGAAACUGGGUCUAAUACUGGAUAUGACCUCAGCAGGCAUGUGCUGGGGUGGAAAGCUUUUGUGGUGCAGGAGGGGCCCGCGGCCUAUCAGCUUGUUGGUGGGGUAAUGGCCUACCAAGGCGACGACGGGUAGCCGACCUGAGAGGGUGACCGGCCACACUGGGACUGAGACACGGCCCAGACUCCUACGGGAGGCAGCAGUGGGGAAUAUUGCACAAUGUGCGGAAGCCUGAUGCAGCGACGCCGCGUGAGGGAUGAAGGCCUUCGGGUUGUAAACCUCUUUCAGCAGGGACGAAGCGUGAGUGACGGUACCUGCAGAAGAAGCACCGGCUAACUACGUGCCAGCCGCCGCAGUAA